ACUUCUACUCUUUCUCACAAGCGUCCCAGCCGGUAUCCGUCCUUGAGCCACCCCGCCCCGCCCACACCCCGGCGUACCUGCGCGGCUGAGCUGGAGAGGAACAAGCUUUGCUCCACAGCAGGGCCGAAGGCAAAAUCGCCUCACGCAACUGCGUCCGCACACACGCGUGCUCCGUCGCCGGUCUAUAUAGCUGCGACUCAGCCUAACUUGCUGCGGCCAGGUCGAGCAGGCCUGUGACCAAUCCCGACUGCGUCCUCUGGGCUCUUGGAGCAGCAAUUGGGUACUGCCUCUGGAUGAAGGCGUGGCUCUUGAUUGGCUUAGACUCAUGCCUAUGAGACUAUAGGGAUCUCGUUUCCCUAGUAACGGAUUGGCAGUGAGAAAGACCAAUUACUUAAAGAAACGUCAAAAGGAGGGUGGGGAGGUCUUUGACCGAUACCCAUAGUAGCCAAUAAGUGCGAGGGACCGCUCCCAUUCGAUAAAAUGUGUUUCCCUGGGCGGAGAUCCGUUUUCCAAGCAGGGGCGGUUGCUCCACAAGGUGGGGCCCGUGUACUUUGGGGAAGUAAACCCCAAGCAACAAGGAGGUGGGCGCCAGGGAGGCCAAGGGAGGCCCUGGCCAAUCGCAAAGCGGGGAGGAUCUGAUUGACGCGGGGGCUGGACUGCGCCAAGGAGACCGAGCCCCAGGGCCUCCGUGCCCUCUGGGGUGGUUUUGAGGCUCUUCUGACCCCGACUUCCGUCCUCUUUUCCUUUCUCUCCCUCAUUUGUUGGGUCUGGCCCUGAGGCCCGUCUCCCGCCUUUUCUGCAUUUGGCACCAGGGAAGCCAAGUGGUAAAGUUCCCGUUUGGGGUUUUUUCUUACGGCAACUUUUUUAUUUCCAUGCGGCCACCUAAGGGCACUUGCUGGCUCUCACCAUUAGUCAGCACUAUUGUUGGACAACAGUGAAAAGAACACCAUAGGGGAAAGUAGCGGCCGCCGCGUACCUAAGGUCGUGUAUAAAGGUCGCCCGUGAAAACUGCUGCGGAGUUGGAGAACACAGACGUCCACCCGGCUGUUCGUGCCAAGCGCGGCAGGCCGGCCCCAUGGCGGGCUCGUAGGAGUUCGCUGAGCUCUUCCCUCUCUCUUGCUGCCAAGGAACCGUAGUCUGUAAAGUCUCCGCUCAGCUUGGUCCUUAGUGCAACAUUCUAUGCGUCACCACCAUUGCCAUUCAUUGUUCGAAUUGCUGGGGGAGUAGGGGGCGGGGGGACUUCUUUCGUGCCAUUACUGCUUUAGAAGGUAAUUGUCAAACUCCUACACGGACACCCCAAAGAUUUCCCAAAGCACUUCAGAGGCUAAGUGGUGCUCCAGCCCGGUCCUGUCCACGUCUGUCGGCGUUUUAUUGGGCCCUCUGUUGGUCACCAUGAGCAUUUUGCAAGGAAAUACACAGACGCCUCGGUUAGUUCUCAUUCCAAGCAUGUGGUCUCCCGUUAAGUUUUGCUGAGAAUUUGGUAAAGAAGCACCUGGAGCGUCUCUGUUGGGGGGACCGGCAGCAGCCUGCUGGGACCCCGGCGCGGCCCCAGUCUCUCCCUGCGCGGUUUCUGACCCCCCAGACUGGAGACUCGCGGCCGUCCCAGGAGCCAAAGGAGGGCGUCCCUCUGCCCCCCACCCCCAAGUCCCUGCCGCAUCGGCCUAGCUCAUUCAGCAUUUAUGAGGUUCCGGUUAAGACCUGGGAUCAGAGAUGAUCUGGAGGUCGUCUCUGUUCUCCGUCACCCAUCCCAUAGACUGGGGCACUUUGCUGGAGCCGGAGCACCCAACCAGGCGUCUGGGGCUAAGAAAACAUCGGAUGAAACUCAAACCAGAGAGAGAGCAGCUGAAGUUUUCUGCAGUGCCUGGCAGGAUUGUACUUUCCUGCCCCCUUUAAAGAUCAGCAAGACCACAUGCUCCGCUUUGGCCAAAACAACGUGAGGAGGUGUGACAUAUAUUUCUUCCUGGAAGAGAAGUCUUUGGAGAUGGUGAUUAUUUACUGAGGUCUUCCCCCCCCACCCUAGCCCUCAUAUUCAAUAUCAUCCCAUUUGGGGUCCCUCAACGUGGGACUCUGAACAAAAUUAUUUGCACAGAGCCAUUCCUCCAAAUUGCCCAACAUGCAAUGGUCACAUGACAGGAACAAGAAGUAAAUCUGUUGUGUUAAGCCGC